ACGUAGGGUGCAAGCGUUAAUCGGAAUUACUGGGCGUGAAGCGCGCGCAGGCGGCUCUUUAAGUCUACCCGUGAAAUGCCGGAGCUCAACUCCGUGCACGCCGGGGGAUACUGGAGAGCUGGAGACGAGUAGAGGCAAGCGGAAUUCCGGGUGUAGCGGUGGAAUGCGUAGAGAUCCGGAAGAACACCGGAGGCGAAGGCGGCUUGCUGGGCUUGGUCUGACGCUGAGGCGCGAAAGCGUGGGGAGCGAACAGGA
rnacentral:rRNA from 1 species